UACGAAGGGGGCUAGCGUUGCUCGGAAUUACUGGGCGUAAAGCGCACGUAGGCGGUCUUUUAAGUCGGGGGUGAAAUCCUGGAGCUCAACUCCAGAACUGCCUUCGAUACUGGAAGACUCGAGUCCGGGAGAGGUGGAGUGGAACUGCGAGUGUAGAGGUGAAAUUCGUAGAUAUUCGCAAGAACACCAGUGGCGAAGGCGGCUCACUGGC
rnacentral:rRNA from 1 species